UGGCUCCGGCAACGAUGAAGAACGCAGCGAAAUGCGAUAAGUAAUGUGAAUUGCAGAAUUUUGUGAAUCAUCGAAUCUUUGAACGCACAUUGCGCCCUCUGGUAUUCCGGGGGGCACGCCUGUUCGAGCGUCAUUGAACCGAUCAAGCCCGGCUUGGUGUUGGGCGGCUCCCCGCCGGGAGCGUCCGAAAUGCAGCGGCUCGGUCGUACCGAGACAGGACGCACUGGGAUUUUUCAAAUCAUCGUUCUCGCUCCUCGGGCGGUCGUCGCCGUCUAAUCGCGGGACCGGCUUCGCCGGGCUCGCACCCCCAAGAAAAUUGACCUCGGAUCAGGUGGGAAUACCCGCUGA
rnacentral:misc_RNA from 1 species